AGAGCGAACGCUGGCGGCAGGCCUAACACAUGCAAGUCGAACGAAUCCUUCGGGAUUAGUGGCGGACGGGUGAGUAACACGUGGGAACGUGCCCUUUGGUUCGGAACAACUCAGGGAAACUUGAGCUAAUACCGGAUAAGCCCUACGGGGGAAAGAUUUAUCGCCAUUGGAGCGGCCCGCGUCUGAUUAGCUAGUUGGUGAGGUAAAGGCUCACCAAGGCAACGAUCAGUAGCUGGUCUGAGAGGAUGAUCAGCCACAUUGGGACUGAGACACGGCCCAAACUCCUACGGGAGGCAGCAGUGGGGAAUCUUGCGCAAUGGGCGAAAGCCUGACGCAGCCAUGCCGCGUGAAUGAUGAAGGUCUUAGGAUUGUAAAAUUCUUUCAGCAGGGACGAUAAUGACGGUACCUGCAGAAGAAGCCCCGGCUAACUUCGUGCCAGCAGCCGC
rnacentral:rRNA from 1 species